rnacentral:tRNA from 1 species
CGCGGGAUAGAGCAGCGGUAGCUCGUCGGGGUCAUAGUCCGAAGGUCACUGGUUCGAAUCCAGCGCCCGCAACCA